UACAGAGGUGGCAAGCGUUGUUCGGAAUUACUGGGCGUAAAGGGCGCGUAGGCGGCCUUCUAAGUCGGACGUGAAAUCCCCAGGCUUAACUUGGGAACUGCGUCUGAUACUGGGAGGCUUGAGUGCGGGAGAGGGAUGUGGAAUUCCAGGUGUAGCGGUGAAAUGCGUAGAUAUCUGGAGGAAUACCGGUGGCGAAGGCGGCAUCCUGGACCGGCAUUGACGCUGAGGAGCGAAAGCUAGGGGAGCAAACGGG
rnacentral:rRNA from 1 species